rnacentral:rRNA from 1 species
AGAGUUUGAUCAUGGCUCAGGAUGAACGCUAGCGGCAGGCCUAACACAUGCAAGUCGAGGGGUAGAGGAAGCUUGCUUCCUUGAGACCGGCGCACGGGUGCGUAACGCGUAUGCAAUCUGCCUUGUACUGAGGGAUAGCCCAGAGAAAUUUGGAUUAAUACCUCAUAGCAUUAUGAAAUCGCAUGGUUUUAUAAUUAAAGUUCCAACGGUACAAGAUGAGCAUGCGUCCCAUUAGUUAGUUGGUAAGGUAACGGCUUACCAAGACGAUGAUGGGUAGGGGUCCUGAGAGGGAGAUCCCCCACACUGGUACUGAGACACGGACCAGACUCCUACGGGAGGCAGCAGUGAGGAAUAUUGGUCAAUGGACGCAAGUCUGAACCAGCCAUGCCGCGUGCAGGAUGAAGCAUCUAUGGUGUGUAAACUGCUUUUGUACGGGAAGAAACACUCCUACGUGUAGGAGCUUGACGGUACCGUAAGAAUAAGGAUCGGCUAACUCCGUGCCAGCAGCCGCGGUAAUACGGAGGAUCCAAGCGUUAUCCGGAAUCAUUGGGUUUAAAGGGUCCGUAGGCGGCUUUAUAAGUCAGUGGUGAAAGCCCAUCGCUUAACGAUGGAACGGCCAUUGAUACUGUAGAGCUUGAAUUACUUGGAAGUAACUAGAAUAUGUAGUGUAGCGGUGAAAUGCUUAGAUAUUACAUGGAAUACCAAUUGCGAAGGCAGGUUACUACAAGUG